rnacentral:rRNA from 1 species
UACGUAGGGUGCAAGCGUUGUCCGGAAUUAUUGGGCGUAAAGGGCUCGUAGGCGGUCCAUCACGUCGGGAGUGAAAAGCUGGGGCUUAACCCCAGUCCUGCUUCCGAUACGGGUGGACUAGAGGUAGGCAGGGGAGAACGGAAUUCCCGGUGUAGCGGUGAAAUGCGCAGAUAUCGGGAAGAACACCCGUGGCGAAGGCGGCUCUCUGGGACGGUACUGACGCUGAGACGCGAAAGCGUGGGGAGCGAACAGG